rnacentral:rRNA from 1 species
UUUUUAUGAGAGUUUGAUCCUGGCUCAGGACGAACGCUGGCGGCGUGCCUAAUACAUGCAAGUCGAACGCUUCUUUUUCCACCGGAGCUUGCUCCACCGGAAAAAGAGGAGUGGCGAACGGGUGAGUAACACGUGGGUAACCUGCCCAUCAGAAGGGGAUAACACUUGGAAACAGGUGCUAAUACCGUAUAACAAUCGAAACCGCAUGGUUUUGAUUUGAAAGGCGCUUUCGGGUGUCGCUGAUGGAUGGACCCGCGGUGCAUUAGCUAGUUGGUGAGGUAACGGCUCACCAAGGCCACGAUGCAUAGCCGACCUGAGAGGGUGAUCGGCCACAUUGGGACUGAGACACGGCCCAAACUCCUACGGGAGGCAGCAGUAGGGAAUCUUCGGCAAUGGACGAAAGUCUGACCGAGCAACGCCGCGUGAGUGAAGAAGGUUUUCGGAUCGUAAAACUCUGUUGUUAGAGAAGAACAAGGAUGAGAGUAACUGUUCAUCCCUUGACGGUAUCUAACCAGAAAGCCACGGCUAACUACGUGCCAGCAGCCGCGGUAAUACGUAGGUGGCAAGCGUUGUCCGGAUUUAUUGGGCGUAAAGCGAGCGCAAGCGGUUUCUUAAGUCUGAUGUGAAAGCCCCCGGCUCAACCGGGGAGGGUCAUUGGAAACUGGGAGACUUGAGUGCAGAAGAGGAGAGUGGAAUUCCAUGUGUAGCGGUGAAAUGCGUAGAUAUAUGGAGGAACACCAGUGGCGAAGGCGGCUCUCUGGUCUGUAACUGACGCUGAGGCUCGAAAGCGUGGGGAGCAAACAGGAUUAGAUACCCUGGUAGUCCACGCCGUAAACGAUGAGUGCUAAGUGUUGGAGGGUUUCCGCCCUUCAGUGCUGCAGCUAACGCAUUAAGCACUCCGCCUGGGGAGUACGACCGCAAGGUUGAAACUCAAAGGAAUUGACGGGGGCCCGCACAAGCGGUGGAGCAUGUGGUUUAAUUCGAAGCAACGCGAAGAACCUUACCAGGUCUUGACAUCCUUUGACCACUCUAGAGAUAGAGCUUCCCCUUCGGGGGCAAAGUGACAGGUGGUGCAUGGUUGUCGUCAGCUCGUGUCGUGAGAUGUUGGGUUAAGUCCCGCAACGAGCGCAACCCUUAUUGUUAGUUGCCAUCAUUCAGUUGGGCACUCUAGCAAGACUGCCGGUGACAAACCGGAGGAAGGUGGGGAUGACGUCAAAUCAUCAUGCCCCUUAUGACCUGGGCUACACACGUGCUACAAUGGGAAGUACAACGAGUCGCGAAGUCGCGAGGCUAAGCUAAUCUCUUAAAGCUUCUCUCAGUUCGGAUUGCAGGCUGCAACUCGCCUGCAUGAAGCCGGAAUCGCUAGUAAUCGCGGAUCAGCACGCCGCGGUGAAUACGUUCCCGGGCCUUGUACACACCGCCCGUCACACCACGAGAGUUUGUAACACCCGAAGUCGGUGAGGUAACCUUUUGGAGCCAGCCGCCUAAGGUGGGAUAGAUGAUUGGGGUGAAGUCGUAACAAGGUAGCCGUAUCGGAAGGUGCGGCUGGAUCACCUCCUUUCUAAGGAA